GAUCCUGGCUCAGGAUGAACGCUGGCGGCGUGCCUGACACAUGCAAGUCGAGCGAUCUCUUCGGAGAGAGCGGCGGACGGGUGAGUAACGCGUGGGUAACCUGCCCUGUACACACGGAUAACAUACCGAGAGGUAUGCUAAUACGGGAUAAUAUAUAAGAGUCGCAUGACUUUUAUAUCAAAGAUUUUUCGGUACAGGAUGGACCCGCGUCUGAUUAGCUUGUUGGCGGGGUAACGGCCC
rnacentral:rRNA from 1 species